GGUGGGGCGAGGCGGGGCGGAACCGGUGGUGGGUAGGGCGCGGCGGGGCGGAACCGGUGGUCGGUGCGGCGCGUUGGAUGGAGGUUGUGGGUCUACGGGAACCUAGGCGCGGUGGGACUUGGCCGCAGCAGGGCGGCGGAAGGUCAGCCCGUCGGUGUCAUGGGUUGUUCGCAGCCGCGGAGAGGGCGGAAGGAGGUGGCGCGGCUCCAGCGGCCCGCGGCUCCGCCUGGUCCUGUCCGGUACCGGGGUGGAAGAAGACCAACGGUCUAGGCCGCUGGGGGGCACCGGACCCUAGGGGGGUGGAGGCGGAGACGCGGAGACGUAGCGGCAGGAGCAGCCCGGGCUGCAGCGAAUAGGCCGGUGCGCUCCUACGUCGGACCGGGCCGGUGUAGCAGCAGCAGGAGCAGAGUCCGGUAGUGGCGGGCCUAGGCGUGGUGGUGGCCACGGGGCAGCACGUGGAUAGGUGGAGGUCCCCGACUACUCCUCUGGUCCGUCGCAGGUAGAGAGGAGAGGCAGACCGCUGGCAGCGACACGUCGAGCCGCCGUACACACUACGCCAAAUCACGACCACGACCUCGUGCCUUGAGGGGACGAAGAAGAGGGGUGUCGUUCUGCUGCUCCCCGAGAAGAAGGGUUGGAGAGACGGCUGGGGAAAGGAGAAUAAGACUGCUCCAGGGUCGGUGGUUGCCGUACGUCAUGCCUCCACACUACGGUACGUCGAGUGGUACACGUAGGGUAGGGUCAUAACAACGAUAAGUCUUAUUAAAAGUUACAAAAAGUCUUUUUGACUACAUUAAACCCACGUCACGUCAAGUCUUGGAAGGUAACCCAUAUAAAACGUCACGCAACUACGUCAGGUAACCCCCACAGGGGAGUAUCGUAGGCCGUACACAGCACACACACGCCACGUGCGCCAGCACGUCAGGCCACCGCCACGGGUACACUCUUCACGACCGCUCCCCUGGGAUAGACGUUGAGUGACUUCAAACAAAACGUCGAGUGACUUUAAACAAAACGUCGAUCGAACGAACAUGUCACGUAAAUGUCACACACGUAAUGCAGACCGCUCACGCACGCCAAGCCGCCGCGUUUGGUAAACGUAAGAAACGAUACAAUUACGCACGCUAAGUCACGUAAAAUCUUAUUUUUACUUCAACCCAACGUGAAACACACACUAACAUUACACCUCUGUAUUUUUCCCUGAUAAACACACCUAAUGAGUCAAACAUUUUAGCAAAGAAACAUUUUCGUCACGCGAGCCACUUGGCUUC
rnacentral:rRNA from 1 species